GUGAUGUCACUAUGAGGAAGUGAGCAGGAAGUUGAUGCUGUAUUCAUCUCUGAGACUGUCUCAUUUGUGAACGUGAGAGCAAGAACAGAGACUGAGAGAGACAGAGAAGCACGAUGGCUGCAUUCACAUGGAUUCAAAUGUCUUCAUUACUGAUACUGAUGCUUCAGUUUAAAGGAACAACUGAGCAACAUCAAACUGUCACAGCUGGACGUGGACAUGAUGUUACUCUGCCUUGUAAAAAUGUGAUACAAGAUUAAAGAAGCCAAACCUAAAUCAGACAGACUGAGUGUUUCUGCAGACUGUUCUCUGGUUAUAAAGAAGGUCACAGAUCAGGAUGUUGGUCGUUACACCUGCAGACAGUUCAAAACAGCAACAGGAGAAGGUCCAGACUUUAUGAUUGAUCUGUCUGUUAUAAACAGUGAAGAUGUGAAAACGACAACAAAAUCAACAAAAUCAACAACUAAAC